UUACGACGGUUCCCCCGACCGAGAGUGAAGGGGAUUAAUAGGGAACACGGUGAGGACGACCCAAAAGGGGCCGAGACCGUGGCUGCCCCCGCAACUGUAAGCGGAUUGCCGUUCAUCCUCGUGACGCCCUAAAAGCGUCAUGCCACUGAGUCUCUACAAAAUGGCUCGGGAAGGCAGAUGAACAGCGAACAUCCGCGAGCCAGGAGACCUGCCGUCUAACGUA
rnacentral:ncRNA from 1 species